rnacentral:rRNA from 1 species
GGUUCAGAACGAACGCUGGCGGCAGGCUUAACACAUGCAAGUCGAACGGAACAUAGGUAGCUUGCUAUCUAUGUCAGUGGCGCACGGGUGAGUAACGCGUAGGAACCUGUCUUUUUAGCCUGGGAUAGCCUCUGGAAACGGAGGGUAAAACCGGAUGAGCCCUGAGGGGGAAAUGAGCAAUCAGCUGGAAGAGGGGCCUGCGUUAGAUUAGGCAGUUGGUGGGGUAAUGGCCUACCAACCGACGAUCUAUAGCUGGUCUGAGAGGAUGAUCAGCCACAUUGGGACUGAGACACGGCCCAAACUCCUACGGGAGGCAGCAGUGGGGAAUAUUGGACAAUGGGGGAGACCCUGAUCCAGCCAAUGCCGCGUGAGUGAAGACGGCCUUCGGGUUGUAAAGCUCUUUUACAUGGGAAGAUGAUGACGGUACCAUGAGAAUAAGCACCGGCAAACUUCGUGCCAGCCGCAGC